GGUAAUGUAAAUUGUGACUUUGCAAAGCUACUAUUUACUGAGCAUUUCCCAUAAGGUCAAAAGAACCACUUGGAACACUCAUUCAGCAUACAGAUUCUGAGCCCCUCCCUGAAGAUCUGAUUCACUAGGCUUGGUGUAAAGUCCUGGAACCCAUAGAUUUAACAGGAGCCCUCCACUGGCAUAUAUUAUGGGAAAUAGUUUGGGAAGUAGUGCUUUACAUGAUUUAUGUCAAGUAAUUAUUACAAUUGCUCUCUGAAGCCGCUACCAUGAUUAUCUCAAUUUUACAGAUGAAGAAACCAGCUCAGAGUAUAAGAUAUGGUAUACCUAAGUCAAAUAGUUAAUAAACAGGAGCGCUGCUGACUCUGGCACCCAGGACUGCUUGUCUUCAAAGCCAGUUCCAGUGGCUAGAAUUCCAAGAUCAAGGUGUCAGCAGCAUGGUUCUUUCUGAGAGCUGUGAAGAAGAAUCCGUUCCAUGCCUCUCCCCCAGUUUCUGGUGGUGUGCUGGCAGUCUUUGGCAUUCUUUGGCCUGCAGACGCAUCACCCUAAUCUCAGCCCAGCUCCGGAACGCCUUUCCCAUGUUUGGUGUGUUUUCUACCUAAUGAGUUUUGAUGGAAGUGAAGGCUGUUAUUUACCUCUGGAAGCUAAAAAUACCAGCUCCCUGGUCAUCUCAGAGUUGGUUUCCGAUGCAACUAAAAACAUCAACUGAUAUGAGGUCCAAAAGAUGGAAUUUUAAGCACCAAAGACGCUCCCUUAUGGGCAAAGUCUCAAUAGGACAUCUGCAUGUUCAGUUGAGAUUCUGCUUUCCCCUCAGAUGACAGAAUUAUUGGCAACCAGUUAAAUUGACGCAAUUGGAAACCCAGAAACAUGAUCAACAAAGAUAAGGAGAUGGAGAUACCAGUCACCCCUAUCAAAGUGGCAAGUGGGAGGGGGAUGCUGGUUGGUCUGUCGGAGCUGACGAAGGAAUGGGAUUGGAAUGUUUCUUUUACCAAUUAUGUAAACACAGCCUGGAGUUCCGAGAUGAGUCCAUCUCACUUGCUCAGAACUUUGCCUGGUGAGAGCGGUUACAAGCGAACAAGGUGGAAAUGAAAGAAACCCUGACUUUCCCACUAGGAAGGAAGAGACUGUUCCUUCUUGUGAUGUACUCUGAAGAAAAAUUCUAGGAUUUGGACAGAUUUCUUGGGUUAUAAAACAUGAUUUUCUUCUCUGUUUCUUGGGCUUUUAUAAUGGGUACUGUUGUUUUCUUGCAAAGCUUUAAUGAUUCCAUAAGGACUUGUAUAAAGUUUAUGGGAGAAUUUUCAAUGUAGAUGUGAAUGGCAGAAACCCAAGAAUCUGUGUGAGGUUGAAUAAGAUCCUGUGUCUCCAGAGAGGUCUGAUGGGGAGACACAGAUCUAAAUUUUAAAGGUGGUUUGGGCCUUCUCAAUCAUAUAUUAAGGUCCUUUUAUGUUAUAGAUAAGUAAAUUAAGGCCCAGAAAGAUUAAUAGCCCAAGGUCCCAAGACCUGCUUGAGACCUGUGCCCCAUUUCUGACUAAUAUUCUUCAUGAUAUUGUAUCACUCUGUAUCAAAACCAACCAACCAAUAAAACCAACCAACCAACCAACCAACAGAAAACAUUCAGGAGAGUGAAAAUGCCGUCUGUGCAGACAGAUUUUCCUUAUUUUAGGAAAUGGUUGGAGUCAGUGCAUUUGAAGUUCAAUGAGUGAGCUUUAUCCUAAAAAAGCUGCUUCCAGGCCUGAUAUGUUCCCUGAAACAUAAGGACAUUCCUCAUUCAAGGCUGUUUGCAAAGAUCUAAAUGAAGGCUGUUAUUAAACAAACAAAACCCCAACCUCUCACUAAUGUCAGAAAUCAGAAAAUGAAUUAUCUAAGUAUUGUCUACUGACUAGCUAGCACUAUGCAGGUAUGAGUAUCAGAGUUCUUCUCUGCUCUGUAAGCUAUAAUCCUCCAGGCUCUUUAGCCUAGGGGUAGAAAAUGGAGUCCUCACCAGGCGCGGUGGCUCACGCCUGUAAUCCCAGCACUUUGGGAGGCCUAGGUGGGCAGAUCAUGAGGUCAGGAGUUUGAAACCAUCC
ensembl:lncRNA LINC01992 long intergenic non-protein coding RNA 1992